rnacentral:rRNA from 1 species
UACGUAGGGUGCAAGCGUUGUCCGGAAUUUAUUGGGCGUAAAGGGCUCGUAGGCGGUCCAUCGCGUCGGGAGUGAAAAGCUGGGGCUCAACCCCAGUCCUGCUUUCGAUACGGGUGGACUAGAGGUAUGCAGGGGAGAACGGAAUUCCUGGUGUAGCGGUGAAAUGCGUAGAUAUCAGGAGGAACACCGGUGGCGAAGGCGGCUCUCUGGACCACAACUGACGCUGAGGCGCGAAAGCUAGGGGAGCAAACAGG